CUGUGGGAGCGCAGCAGAGACUACAAGGGCAGAGGACCCCAGUGGAAAGAGACAUCACCCACGAAAGAGACACUAGCCCGGUUGUACUUACAUCCCUCGCGGGGAGUCAGAAAACGCUCCUCUGGAUGGAGAGAAAGUUGGGAAGGGCCAAUGAGUGGGCGCUGGCACCAACGCCAUCUCUCAGUCCACAAGCCACUCAACUGUCCCAGCUGCAGCCUUCACAGACCGCAAACUCCCACGGGGAAACCGAAACCCUAGCAGACCCAGUUUUUGAUUUCUCACUACAGGACAAGUAGACUUCACUGUGGCAUCCUCUGUCUUCCUCUAAGUCCAGGGGCCUGGGGCAACAGUCUCUGUAAAAUCCUUUUCACAC